rfam:Tupaia chinensis contig28060, whole genome shotgun sequence.
GGAAUGACAGAUACCAAAAUCAGAACAAUACAGAGAAGAUUAGCUAUGGCCUCUGAGCAAGGAUGACAUGAAAAUUCAUGAAGUGUUCCAUAUUAAA